GUAGUCGCCCAUGGAGUCUUUGACGCAAGUUGCGCCCGAAGCCAUUAGGCCGAGGGCACGUCUGCCUGGGCGUCACGCAUCGCGUCGCCCCCCCACCCCCUCACCCAUGUCCCGAAAGGGUCGCGCGCCUCACCGUGGGGGGGGGAACUUGGGGUCCGGUGCAGCUUUUCUGUCGAGCCAGAAACAACGUUUCCAUCGGUGGUUAAGUCRUSACAAGUGGUGGUCCGUGGAGAUUGUACUCGAGUUGCCGGCAAGCUGCGUCGAGGACAGCAAUUGGACCCUGCGCGAGACGACUCCCUUCGGCGAGGGGMAAUCGCAUCCAUKGCGACCCCRGGUCAGGCGGGGCUACCCGCUGAGUUUAAGCAUAUCAAUAAGCGGAGGAAAAGAAACUAACAAGGAUUCCCUAGUAACGGCGAGCGAACCGGGAAUAGCCCAAUUUAGAUCUCGACACGGUCUCUACGUCUCUGAAUUGUAGUCUGGGUAAACGUUUG
rnacentral:rRNA from 1 species